rnacentral:lncRNA from 1 species
GCUUGUGGCCCGCGCAGGGGCGGGGUCGGAAGGUCUAGGCCGGGCGCGGAGCGAGGAAGCGGGUGGCGCUGGGACGCAUGCUCUGGGGGAGAUGAGUAUAAUGACCCGCGUUUGUCCGCCGCCCGUGCCCCGCUCAAUCCCCGCAUCAAUCCCGUGAGGCCGUUUCUCCCGUUGGCUCCACUGUACCGGGGGCUGAGGCCCAGGGAGGUCUCGCGGCUCCCUAGGUUAUCCAGCUAGUAAGAGGCGAAGCUGGAAUUCUCACUGUGGGCCCAUUCCAUGGCUUUUGCCAGAGCGCCAGGGACACACUCAGUUCACCUUCUAGCAGGGAAGACCCAAAGAUGCGCGCCCCUGGCAGCCAGGGCGUCGGACCAGGCAAUUCCUACUGUCCAGCAUCACCUCCUCCAGGCCUCUCGGAUGCCUCUGUUGGGACAGCUAAGUUCCUCUUCAAAGACUCAAUUUCCUGGUCAUAAGCUGUAAACAGAUUCUACUCCCGCUUUUUCUUCUUUGUCGCACGUCUACCCUAUUUGGGAAAGUUUAAACCUUAGCCAAUCGGGAUCAGCUCAGAUUGUGCGGUCCAACCCCCCAGCCAAUGGGGAAAGGACACAGAAACAGGAACUGCGUUAGGGUUAAAAACCACUUCCCUCCUUUGUUGGCGGGUGCUCUUGGGAUUGCAACCAGCGCAAGCAGCACCCUUCUGCAGAAGUAAAGAUGCCUUGCUGGGAAGUCUUCUGUCUCAGUGCUGGUUUUUCUUGACUACACUGAGCACUUGUUUUCAACAAAUUUGAGGGUCUUCUGGGAUCCCAUUCUCCUUUGGGAGGGGUAGCGAUUACUUUUCCUCGUGAGACACGUCCCACUGCCUUGUUGCAGUGGCCCAAGGAGCGGAGGAUCGGGUCCACCCAAAGUGAGGAAUAAAUCCGGACUUUCAGCAACGUGGGCAGGAAGGAGCCUUAAAAUUCCCAGGCAAGUGGGUAACUCUGUGCACAGACCAAGCCGCCGACGGGACCAUCACAAAAGCUUUACAAGGCCUUACCACCCUGGCAAAUGAAUUAGCCGAAAAUUCUGGACUAGAUAACCCUUUUAUGGGUCUCAUGGAAAAGUGGUUUGGAAAAUGGAAAGGACUCCUGGCUUCAAUCUUUACCUCUCUUGCAAUUGUAACAAGUGUACUUAUCCUUGUGGGCUGCCGCAUCAUACCUUGUAUUCGUGGGUUAACUCAAAGGCUCAUAGAAACAGCCCUCACUAAAGCCUUCCUCUCUUCUCUCCCUCCAUACUUGGACAAGCUCUUGCUCCUGGAUAAUCAAGAAGAACAACGAAGCCAAAUCCUGUUAAAAUUUUUUGCAGAGGAAGAAGUAUCAAAUAGAAGAGAGGAAAUUGUUGGGACAGCUAAGCUCUUCAAAGACUCAACUUCCUGGUCAUAAACUUCUCCCCGUUUUUCUUCUUUUUCGCCAGUCUACCCUGUUUGGGAAAGUUUAAACCUUAGCCAGUCGGGAUCAGCUCAGAUUGUGCAGUCCAUCCCCAGUCAAUGGGGAAAGGACACAGAAACAGGAACUGCGUUAGGGUUAAAAAGCCCUUCUCUCCUUUGUUUGGGGUGCUCUUGCGAUUACAAGCUGCGCAAGUAGCACCGUUCUGAAGUAAAGAUGCCUUGCUGGGAAAUCUGUCUCAGUGCUGGUUUUUCUUGACUACACUGAGCACUUGUUUCCAACACCCCUGUGCUCCAGGCUGGGUUAGGUCUGAUCUCAGGGAAUGUCUGUUUCAACACGUGUCUGCAGUUCUUUGGCUUGUGUUGCUCACUGCAGUGGGCCCAGCCUGGUCUAGAGGAGGCGCUCAGGAAGUAUCUGUGAAAUGUGAAUGUGUAGUUCCUUCAGUGAAUAUGGCCCUGGGGCUGAAGAUGGCAGAAGCAUUCUGGGAGCUUCUGGAGAAGGAGACCUGGGAGGAGAAGGUUGGAAUGGCGGGGGCAGCAGAGGGGCUGGGUGAACUCAGCUGUCCCACCCAGGCCCAUCCUCUGCAGCCCGAGAAGGAAGCUCACAGGGCAAGACAUGGAAGAGAUCAAGUUCCCUGCCCGGUGCCUGGGCUGUUGAUGGCCUCAGGAAAAUGGAACCAUUACCUGUUGCUGUCAAGUGGCUGGGGGCCAGGAUGCCUGGGUUGGCCGUGAGAGGACAUUGCUGAGGAGAGUGGAGGCCAGGCUGGGGUGGGGUGUGGCAGGAGGACAGGAAUGCAGUGGAACCAGUGGGUCAGGCUCCUGAGGGCCCCAGGCUCCAGCCUCAGGGCUGGCCUGUUCCCUCCUAAGCUGCCAUCUUCAUAUCUUCAGGACCCACCCCUCUACUCCUCACCCUCAGCACAACGAUGUGAUCGAAAGGCAAAUAUUUAUUUUUCAGGAAGAGAAACAGGAGACCUCGAGGCUUCUGGACUUAGGAGGUCCGGGCAGCUGGUCCAUGGUUGUCCAGGUAGUGCCGCAGGGCUGUGGGAUAAUCCGUUAUGACGCCAGUGGCUCCCACGCUGAAGGCUGCUUCAAAAUCCGACUCUUCAUUAAGGCACCAAAAGACCACCUGAGCAGGGAGGGAGGGGGCCUGUAGAUUCUGAACAAUUUUACAUCUGGAGAGUGGGGACCCACCUCCUCCUCUAUGGAGACUCCCCAGCAGCAGUAGGCUGGAGCUGAUUGUUAAAUUCUCAGGAAUUUUGCAAAGUGGUUAUUAAACCCAGCCAUUAUUAAAAAUUAAAUCAUAGCCUGGGUGCAGUGGCUCACGCCUGUAAUAUCAACACUUUGGGACGCCGAGGCAGGAGUUGAGGCCAGGUGUUUAAGAUCGAGUGAGACCUCAUCUCUACAAAAAACUUUGUAAAAAUUAAUUAGCCCGGUGUGGUGGUAUGCGCCUGUGCUCCCAGCUACUUGGAAGACUGAGGUGAAAGAAUUGCUUGAGCCCAGGACUCUAAGGCUGCAGUGAGCUAUGGUUGCACCACUGUACUCCAGCCUGGGCGAUACAACAAGACCUCGUCUC